rnacentral:rRNA from 1 species
UACUAGCGGUCCAAGUCGCAGCCAUCAUUAUUGGGUCUAAAAUAUCCGUAGCUUGCUUAAUAAGUUCCUUGUGAAAUCUUAUAUCUUAAGUAUAAGGCGUGCAGGGAAUACUGCUAAGCUAGAGACUGGAAGACGUAAGAAGUAUGUUCAAAGUAGCGGUAAAAUGUGUUAAUCUUGAGCAGACUCACAAUAGCGAAGGCAUCUUACGAGGACAGUUCUGACAGUAAAGGAUGAAGGCUAGGGGC